AACACCUCAACCUCUCUUUUUGACAAAAAAGGGAGGGUGGACUUGAGCUAUCCCAACGACCUUCACCGGUAGGCGGGCGGCUUGAAAUGCAGGUGCAGCUGGACUUUUAUCUGAGCUAAAAGCAUAUCUAUUUAGUCCUCGUCAAACAGGAUUAUUACUUUUGCUGCAGCUAACAUAAAGGAUAAUUGUCCUCUUUGCUGACUGAUGCAGGAUUUUACGACACUUUAUGUGUUGUUCA
rnacentral:misc_RNA from 2 species